CCUGAAGGCUGCCGUCUAUUGUAUAAAGCUAGAAGGGUGUGAGACUGUAUGGCUAUAAGGUUGUAUCCCCUGAAAGCUACCGUCUAUUGUAUAAAGCUAGAAGGGUGUGAGACUGUAUGGCUAUAAGGUUGUAUCCCCUGAAGGCUGCCGUCUAUUGUAUAAAGCUAGAAGGGUGUGAGACUGUAUGGCUAUAAGGUUGUAUCCUCUGAAGGCUGCCGUCUAUUGUAUAAAGCUAGAAGGGUGUGAGACUGUAUGGCUAUAAGGUUGUAUCCCCUGAAGGCUACCGUCUUGUAUAUAAAGCUAGAAGGGUGUGAGACUGUAUGGCUAUAAGGUUGUAUCCCCUGAAGGCUGCCGUCUUUUGUAUAAAGCUAGAAGGGUGUGAGACUGUAUGGCUAUAAGGUUGUAUCCCCUGAAGGCUGCCGUCUUGUAUAUAAAGCUAGAAGGGUGUGAGACUGUAUGGCUAUAAGGUUGUAUCCCCUGAAGGCUGCCGUCUAUUGUAUAAAGUUAGAAGGGUGUGAGACUGUAUGGCUAUAAGGUUUUAUCCCCGGAAGGCUGCCGUCUAUUGUAUAAAGCUAGAAGGGUGUGUGACUGUAUGGCUAUAAGGUUGUAUCCCCUGAAGGCUGCCGUCUUGUAUAUAAAGCUAGAAGGGUGUGUGACUGUAUGGCUAUAAGGUUGUAUCCCCUGAAGGCUGCCGUCUUGUAUAUAAAGCUAGAAGGGUGUGAGACUGUAUGGCUAUAAGGUUGUAUCCCCUGAAGGCUGCCGUCUAUUGUAUAAAGCUAGAAGGGUGUGAGACUGUAUGGCUAUAAGGUUGUAUCCCCUGAAGGCUGCCGUCUAUUGUAUAAAGCUAGAAGGGUGUGAGACUGUAUGGCUAUAAGGUUGUAUCCCCUGAAGGCUGCCGUCUAUUGUAUAAAGCUAGAAGGGUGUGAGACUGUAUGGCUAUAAGGUUGUAUCCCCUGAAGGCUGCCGUCUAUUGUAUAAAGCUAGAAGGGUGUGAGACUGUAUGGCUAUAAGGUUGUAUCCCCUGAAAGCUACCGUCUAUUGUAUAAAGCUAGAAGGGUGUGAGACUGUAUGGCUAUAAGGUUGUAUCCUCUGAAGGCUACCGUCUAUUGUAUAAAGCUAGAAGGGUGUGAGACUGUAUGGCUAUAAGGUUGUAUCCCCUGAAAGCUACCGUCUUUUGUAUAAAGCUAGAAGGGUGUGAGACUGUAUGGCUAUAAGGUUUUAUCCCCUGAAGGCUGCCGUCUUGUAUAUAAAGCUAGAAGGGUGUGUGACUGUAUGGCUAUAAGGUUUUAUCCCCUGAAGGCUGCCGUCUUGUAUAUAAAGUUAGAAGGGUGUGAGACUGUAUGGCUAUAAGGUUGUAUCCCCUGAAGGCUGCCGUCUAUUGUAUAAAGCUAGAAGGGUGUGAGACUGUAUGGCUAUAAGGUUGUAUCCUCUGAAGGCUGCCGUCUUGUAUAUAAAGCUAGAAGGGUGUGAGACUGUAUGGCUAUAAGGUUGUAUCCCCUGAAGGCUACCGUCUAUUGUAUAAAGCUAGAAGGGUGUGUGACUGUAUGGCUAUAAGGUUUUAUCCCCUGAAGGCUACCGUCUAUUGUAUAAAGCUAGAAGGGUAUGAGACUGUAUGGCUAUAAGGUUUUACCCUCUGAAGGCUGCCGUCUAUUGUAUAAAGCUAGAAGGGUGUGAGACUGUAUGGCUAUAAGGUUUUAUCCCCGGAAGGCUGCCGUCUAUUGUAUAAAGUUAGAAGGGUGUGAGACUGUAUGGCUAUAAGGUUGUAUCCCCUGAAGGCUGCCGUCUUUUGUAUAAAGCUAGAAGGGUGUGAGACUGUAUGGCUAUAAGGUUUUAUCCCCUGAAGGCUGCCGUCUAUUGUAUAUAAAGUUAGAAGGGUGUGUGACUGUAUGGCUAUAAGGCUUGUUAGGCAUGUCUACAUAGUGUUUAUAUUGUGUUACGCCAAUAUAUCGCUCGAAUCAUAUUUAUCAAAUCGUUACAUUUGAUUAUCAUUAUUAUUAAAUCAGUUAGCUAAGUAAAA